UUGCAAUGAUGACAAACUUAGGACACCUUACGAUAUAUAUUGAUACAAACCAAUGCGUUACCAUAACUGAGCAGC